rnacentral:tRNA from 1 species
CACCAAAGAGCUGGAUAGCGUUGGACUUUUAAUCCUAUGAAAAUAAUUUAUUAUUUUUGGUGA